CCUACGGGGGGCAGCAGUGGGGAAUAUUGGGCAAUGGGCGGAAGCCUGACCCAGCCACGCCGCGUGAGUGAUGAAGGCCUUCGGGUCGUAAAGCUCUGUGGGGAGGGACGAACAAGGGCGGCCCUAAUACCGCCGCUCCCUGACGGUACCUCCUUAGCAAGCACCGGCUAACCCUGUGCCAGCAGCCGCGGUAAUACAGGGGGUGCAAACGUUGCUCGGAAUUAUUGGGCGUAAAGCGCGCGUAGGCGGCUACUUAAGUCGGAUGUGAAAGCCCCUGGCUCAACUGGGGAAGUGCACCCGAAACUGAGAAGCUAGAGUACGAAAGAGGGUCGCGGAAUUCCCGGUGUAGAGGUGAAAUUCGUAGAUAUCGGGAGGAACACCGGUGGCGAAGGCGGCGACCUGGGUCGAUACUGACGCUGAGGCGCGAAAGCGUGGGGAGC
rnacentral:rRNA from 1 species